rnacentral:lncRNA from 1 species
ACGGCGCGCUGCGCUGACCGCAGAGGUGUAGUCAGUGAGAGCGUUGUCCUGUAUCUGCUCUCGCACCGAACGCUGGAGACCACGGAGGAAAUAUCCUAAGCACUGGUCAUCCGAAAGGGGAGGCAGCUGGGCCACGCGGCUUUCGAAAGCAGCGAUGUAAUCCUCCAGAGAUCCUGUUUGAUGUAAUAGAAACAAGGCCUCGUAGGUGUUGAGCGUGGAGGCAUCGCCGAAACGCGCCAAUAAGGCUUGGGUGAAUUGUGGCCAUGCCGGGUUGGGAUUACGACGCAGGAGUAGUUG